rnacentral:lncRNA from 10 species
CGGAGCUUGAGUGGGCCGAGAUCGCCCACUGCACUCCAGCCUGGGUGACAGAGCGAGACUCCAUCUCAAAAACGAAACCAAACAAACAAACAAGAAUGAUAUUUUCCUCCUAAUCUCACCCAGAAGAGAAACACCAACCACCCAGUGCAUGCUAAGCUCACACUGGCCUCACAAAGUAGACAUGAUGGGGCAAUACUUUCCAAAUCAAAUUGAAGUAUUUGACAUUAGCCCCACAUCAUUCACACACACUUAUACUAAUAAGGAUUUUUAGCCACAGAAAAUGAAUUUUUAGUCUAACUAGUUUAAGCACAAAGGAUUUAUUGAGUGUGAAGACAGCUUAAAGAAUUUUGGGGAAGAGUGAAACAACUUCCAGGUAUGAUUUCAAAAGUCCCUAGACUGCCCAGGGAGCUGAUUCCCCUGCUUGAUUAGGAAGUUGCAGCUGCCAACUCCAGAACCUUAUUACCUCUUAUAAUUUACCAUGAAGAAGUUACCAAAUCAGAGAGCUACUUCUAUAACUGUCAGCUCUAGAACAUACUUUCCUUUCCAUGGUUCUUGCUGGAAAAAUGAAUGCCUUGCACUCUGCCUCUCUCCCCAGGCAGGUCAGUGUGAACCAAAAUUUUGUGUCAGCACAUUUGAUAGGCAGAGGCCAGAUCUCAUCCAGAACCUACCUGCAAGGGUUCUGGGAAAUGUAGAUUUUAGUUUUCCAACACCCAAUGUUUUUAGACUGGAAGUUGAAUGAAUCACUUCAUCAUCCAGAAAGUCAUGUUUCCUAUCAGCCUUUUUCCUCACAAGGAUACAGGAAGCUUAACAUCACAAGCAGGGCAGGAGGAGCUGGUACUUGAUGUGUUUAGCAAAGCAAUAGUCAUAAAGAAUUAGAAGUUAUUUAAAAUUUUAGCAUUAGUCAGGCACAGUCCCAGCUACUUGGGAAGCUGAGGCAGGAGGAUUGCUUGAGCCCAGGAGUUCAGGGUUGUAGUACACUAUGAUCAUACCUGUGAGUAGCCAUUGCACUAUAGUCUGGACAACAUAGCAAGACCCAGUCUCCUAAAAGGGGGAAAAAAGGAGAAGAAACAGGGGAAGCAGCCAAAAUGGCCGAAUAGAAACAGCUCAAGUCUGUGGCUUCCACUGAAAAGAAUGAAAAUGGCAAGUGAACUCUGCAUCUUCAACUGAGGUACCCAUGUUCUCUCAUUGGGCCUGACUAGGCGGUUGGCACUAUCCAUGGAUCUCAUUCAUGAAAUGAAAAAUGAUAUAGAGGAUAGCAUCACUGAUCCCACAGAAAUACAAACAACCACCAGGGAAUACUAUAAAUACCUCUAUGCAAAUGAACUCAUCAUCCUGAUACCAAAACCUGGCAGAGAUACAAGAACAACAACAAAAACUUCAGACCCAUUGUAGAAGGCAGAUAUAAUGGAAGGACAGGGAGAGAGGAGUGAGUCACAGAGAGGUAGAGGAAAGUAGAUGUCAG